AUUGAACGCUGGCGGCAUGCCUUACACAUGCAAGUCGAACGGUAACAGGUCUUCGGAUGCUGACGAGUGGCGAACGGGUGAGUAAUACAUCGGAACGUGCCUAGUAGUGGGGGAUAACUACUCGAAGGAGUGGCUAAUACCGCAUGAGAUCUACGGAUGAAAGCAGGGGAUCGCAAGACCUUGUGCUACUAGAGCGGCCGAUGGCAGAUUAGGUAGUUGGUGGGAUAAAAGCUUACCAAGCCGACGAUCUGUAGCUGGUCUGAGAGGACGAUCAGCCAAACUGGGACUGAGACACGGCCCAGACUCCUACGGGAGGCAGCAGUGGGGAAUUUUGGACAAUGGGCGAAAGCCUGAUCCAGCAAUGCCGCGUGCAGGAUGAAGGCCUUCGGGUUGUAAACUGCUUUUGUACGGAACGAAAAGCCCCGGGUUAAUACCCUGGGGUCAUGACGGUACCGCAAGAAUAAGCACCGGCUAACUACGUGCCAGCCGCCGCAGUAA
rnacentral:rRNA from 1 species